GGCUUUGGGACCUCACUGGGAGUAAGCUUGGGUGACUGCAGGGAGGGGUGAGGUACCGCCCCUUCCCUUCCCCCCGGAAUGAAGGGAGGAAAGCUCCGCGCCUCAGUACAUGGACUAGGACUUGUUCACCGACUGGCCAAGAAGGAGGAAAUCAAGUCACUUUUCGGAUCUGUCUUCUCAGUAAAAGGAGCGGAUUGGACAAGCCGAUCUCUAAGGACCUCUUCCAGGGCUAUCCUAUGUUUUGAGCUCUGACUUUCUAUGAGUUUGCAUCCUUGUUCCGCGUCCCCAAGUUCGCUGGGACCAGUUUUUGAAUUUCCGGAGACUGCAGGUAACACUCCAGAGUAUUGUGGGCCACAUGCAGCUUGUAGGUUGAGUGUCUGACACCUCUGCUCUAUAUCAUGGUGACAUCAUUUGCUGCUCAUGUUUGGGCCAAGAGCUCCUUUGCCUGAUCCAGAAUCUCAGGAUUCUCUGGGAAGCCCUCCUCUGAAUCCAAGAGGUUUGGUGCAUGAAACCCACCAUCAAUCCACUGUUCCUGCUCCAUCAUUGUACUUCAGCUCCCAGCGUCGUCCUGGAAAUACUCAUUUUGCUCUGCCUGCUGCCAUCUCUGGAGCCAUGUGGUUCCAUCCUCUCCUGGGGCCACGUAGUUCCCUGAUGCACGUGGUUCCCUGGAGGGGCCGUAGAACCACAAGGUCACAAAGCUUCCCAGUAGCAAGAGCCAAAGCCUGUCUGUACCCACUGCUGCCAGGUGAAUGCCGUUUCCUGUUCUCCAGACCUCCUUUUAAAGGCUAAAUCCCCAAACUUAAA